CUUUCCAUUUUUUGUGUUAACACUUACAGCUUGUAGGGUGGUUUCAUCUGUGCCAUCUGCAUGCCAUAUUGUACAUCAGAUGGCGGGAUAAAAUCUGUAACAAGAACGUUUUGGGACAUAGAAGUCUUUCAGGGUUCGAAGCAAUGAUAUUCAGAGCACGAACGUGCAGAGCCACUCAGAUAUCUGAAACAGAAGACGCAGAAUGCCAAAGCAGCUGCUGAGUGAAAGAGAGACCACACAGUUGGGGCAGCAUACAAGCAGCGAGGACAAAAGAACGUUUGAGGGAACAAGAAAGUGCAACUUCAGGCAGUGAGAAACUGGAGUCAAUCACUGGGAAUUAUUGACAAGCAGCCAUGCGCCCGCACAGUGAUUAGAGGCUCGCUUUGAGAAGCAAUGACAAUUAAUGCUGAGGCUUAAAACAGUACCCUGUCUAGACACAGUAGGAUGCUUUUCCCUUUUCUAAGAAGCAUACCCCUAACAGCAGACUACGCCAGCAAAAGGUGCUGCUCAUGAACUAACAAGAACAUAACUCUAGUGUAGAAAACGGCCCUGAAUCUGUUGUGGAGCCAAGACAUGGAAACUGAGCAUUUUACAGGCAUACAGUGCUACCAAACGUGCAGCCAGUGAGGUGCGUUUGCUAGCCAUGUGCUGUACAGAUUUUUCAUUCCCAUCAGUCUUCUGUGGGCAUCAGUGUAGUGCAUCCAGUGGAGGGUCCCCACGUGCUUUUUGCCAGCAAUCCAAGAUGGGAUUCAGACUCAGGUUUGUCAGCAGGGCAGGCUGCUGUGCUAACUUGCUCUAUCUCUCUAUCUGAUUACCCACAGCAGCCAAAAUAACCCUCAGUCCUGGCUCUGGCAGUGUGGGAUCCUCAUGGCUACAACGUGAAGUUUCAGAUCCCUUCUUAUUUACGUAUUGAGUCGCUUGGUUUCUUUUACAGGUUUCUUGGUACCUCCUGCUGGUUAGACAGAGAGCAGAUUGCUAUUGCCAUCUGGAGGGAGGGAAACCUGGCUGUUCGCACUGCUGGGUAAAAAUGUUUCUGAAAGCAGCUGAAAGGACAAAGAAAAUCCCCAUGGCUACAAAAACUGGAGUCAUUAAUGCUGUGGAUUAUUUCUGACAUAAAACUCUAAUUAAGAAUUAAGUUACCAGUUAAUCUCUAUUCAUUUAAUUAUUAUGUGUUUACUGUGUAGAGCAGACCAUGUUCCAGCAGCUCCAGAGAAAGGGUAGGUCCAGGUUAUGCAAAACAAAUUCCUCUGGGUUUUCUACUUUGCUUACAAGAGUUUUUCUUCAUCUGAAGUAACAAAAAGCCAGCUACGUCUCUUACUAUGUCUGCUUGUGACACUUAUCAAUCUAUACACUUGAAAUAAAAUAUUAAACCAUAUAAAGAAGACUUCUGCUUCUACAACAGGACUGUUUUCAGAUCAGUCAUUCCACUCAUCUGCAUCUCCUCCUUCCUUUGCUUUUUUUUUAAUUUAAUUUUAUUUUUUUGGCCCUUUUCUUGGCCAAAAUUCAGUUUUAUGUAACAUUUUGUACUUGACAGUCAGAAGAUUCCUCUUGAUUUUUCGCACCCCAAAAUUAAAAUCAGGCAUACUGCCGCCUGGCUCGGUAGGGACCUCUUCAAGGGACAGCAUGAGAGAGAGUAAUGUUUUUCCCUAAAUACCACAUAUGCUGAUGGUGCUUUACAGAUGGCAGCUCCAGCUACUGUGGGAAUGUUUAGUGUUGCCAGAUCUCUCUGCUCCUGGUGUCUGGGUCCUCUCUACAUCUGCUCUAAUUGUCAGCAUGGGGAGCUUGAACGUUAUGCAGAAGGAAACAUGAAAAUCACAAGGCUUUGAGGUACUGUUUUCCAAAUGAAACUGAGGGUGAGGAGAAAAGCACACAGAGAGUGGAAGGUUUCAGGAAAGAAACACUAUUGACAGUGAGAGCUGAAAGUGGGUAUUAGAAGUAGCUUGUAAAAUCCUUCAAGAGAUAUUACCUGGGAGGGAGCCAGAAAUAAAUGACAUUGUUUUUGCCAUGUGUGGAUGGAUGAGAAAUGGAGACAGGUAAACAUAGCACUUGUUACUGGUUGAAACAGUCUUUGGCUCCAUCAAAUGCUUUGGUCUACUACCUGCUCUUUUCACUGCCAGCUGACUGGGAGCAAUGUUUCCACUCGCACCUUAUCUGGUUUCGCUGAAGCUGAGUUGCUGGGCAACAAGUUGGACCAAAAGCACGCUCAAGAAUGUAAAAGCCACCUCCCCAUAAAGAAGCUUGUCCUUCAUCACGUCAUGAUUGAGCACUCCUCUUUCUACUGCAAAUGCCAGCUGACACUCACCUGGUGGGAACAAGAAGGGAAAUUCCAUCAGGAUGCCAGAGAAGGAAGACCUCAAUGCCUCUGGCUGCCCAGGGGGACCGAUGAUUCCCCAGCCUAGGGCACAUUUAGAGCACAGCCCUGGUGUGAGCAGGAGGGUGGAGCGGGUGCUCUCCCUUUCUUCUAUCAGUAAGCAACUGCUUACUGGCUCAGUAAAGAAGAUGGGACAGUUUUAGGUGCUUCCAGCUUUCCAGCAAUGUCAACUAUGCUGCUGUAGCUAAUGUGAAGAAAAUAAUAACGCGACAAGGAUGUGUGAAGAUGUGGAUGGCUUGCAUAGACAUAAACACACACAGACACACACAAGCAAUGGCUUUAGCUAUUAUGUGGGAAAGCAGAAUGUGAGGGUGGAGGGCGGGGUGCUUGAGGUUGAAGAAACCCCUGGAAAAAGCACAAAUUGUUAUUCUUAACAUAUUUCGUUUCCAAGAUGCUUGUAUGGAGCCUCUAUAGCAAACUGAGCAAGAGGUCUGAAUGAAUGGAAGCCAAUGUAACAGGCUCUGAGUGCUGGUUGCACAACUCAAUUAUGUGCUCGCUCCUUCCCUGCGCCUCCUUUCUAAGGAGUGCCAGAGGGAUGAAAUAAAUUAUCUUCCUUGAAUGGGGCAAACUCCAUAAUGUCUUUUACUGUGCUAUUUUCAGAAGUCCAAUAAAAGACAUCAUCAGACAUUUAUCCUGGACCUCAAAAAUGUAUGAAGUUUUACAUAUUUAGGAUAACUAUUUUAAAGGGUAUGAUUUCCAUCCCAGGAGAAAGACUUGUGCAGACCUUGACUUCGAGUGUACUUAGUUCGAUCUAUGAACAAAAUUCAGGUACAUUGA